rnacentral:rRNA from 1 species
GACGAACGCUGGCGGCGUGCUUAACACAUGCAAGUCGAACGGAAAGGCCCUGCUUUUGUGGGGUGCUUGAGUGGCGAACGGGUGAGUAACACGUGAGUAACCUGCCCUUGACUUUGGGAUAACUUCAGGAAACUGGGGCUAAUACAGGAUAGGAGCUCCUGCUGCAUGGUGGGGGUUGGAAAGUUUCGGCGGUUGGGGAUGGACUCGCGGCUUAUCAGCUUGUUGGUGGGGUAGUGGCUUACCAAGGCUUUGACGGGUAGCCGGCCUGAGAGGGUGACCGGCCACAUUGGGACUGAGGUACGGCCCAGACUCCUACGGGAGGCAGCAGUGGGGAAUAUUGCACAAUGGGCGGAAGCCUGAGGCAGCAACGCCGCGUGCGGAAUAACGGCCUUCGGGUUGAAAACCGCUUUCGCCGGUGACGAAGCGUGAGUGACGGUAAUUGGUAAAGAAGCACCGGCUAACUACGUG